GUAAAUAUAGUUUAAUAAAACACUAGGCUGUGACCCU
rnacentral:tRNA from 1 species